rnacentral:misc_RNA from 1 species
GAUGAAGAACGUAGCGAAAUGCGAUACGUAAUGUGAAUUGCAGAAUUCAGUGAAUCAUCGAAUCUUUGAACGCAUAUUGCGCUCUCUGGUAUUCCGGAGAGCAUGCUUGUUUGAGUAUCAGUAAACACCUCAACUUCCAUAUCUUUUUUUGAAAUGGGAGUUGGACUUGAGUGAUCCCAACGCUUUUCCUCACCGAAAAGUGGCGGGUUACUUGAAAUGCAGGUGCAGCUGGACUUUUCUCUGAGCUAUAAGCAUAUCUAUUUAGUCUGCCUAAAAAACAGAUUAUUACCUUUGCUGCAGCUAACAUAAAGGAGAUUAGUUCUUGUGCUGACUGAUGCAGGAUUCACAAAGACAGCUUCGGCCGACUUUGUAAACUCGAUCUCAAAUCAAGUAAGUCUACCCGCUGAACUUAAGCAUAUCAAUAAGCGGAGGA